CUCGAUCCACCCCUCCCGCUGCGACCUCUCUCUUCCCUCGUCUCCCGCUCCACCGCCGCCGCCCCAUCUCCCGCUCCAUCGCCGCCGCCCCAUCUCCCGUCUCCAGUCGCAGCCGCCGCCGCACCCCAAUCCAACACCGCCGCCGGCAAUCUCCUCGCCCCCCUGCGCCGCCGCCCCCAACCUUCUAUUCCUCUCCCAAGGGAAUCCCAAGGGAAGUGAAGGGAAGGGAAGGGAAGGCAAGGGAAGGGAAGGGAAGGAAGAGGGAGCGCCCAGAUCCACGGCGGCAUCAGCGCGCCGUCAUCGACCCGAUCCGCGUCCGUCCUCGAGGGAGGUCGGCCAUGGAGGUCCGACCCGGCCCGGCAGAAGCCAUGGACGGACGGAGACGCCCCAAACCCUACCCUCAAGGACGACGCCUCAACCUUCAAGGACGCGCGCCGGCGACCGCGGAUCUCCGGUGACGGCUAUGGUGAGUGUGUACCUGCGGACGUUCUUCCUCGGAUUCAUCAUCUCCCCCUGCUCGUGAUUCCUUCCUUGGUUUCUUUUAUUUUGUGUGCGGGAUGACUGCCCCGGAUCUGGACGCAUGACCUGCAGCUGCAGCAGCAGCUGGACGACCGAACGCACGAGCCCUCCCUCCCUCCCUCAUGGCUCUGCUUCUUCCUACCCUGCCCCCCUCACGUUGGCGUGGUCACACAAAUAGAAGCGUUGCUCAUAUGCUCCUGAAUCAGGUGUGCAGUAUGAUGGAGUUUACAGAAUUGAGAACUGUUAGAUAAAGAUGGCGUUCAGAUUAUCUAGCUAGGUUGGUAAAAAGCAAGGCCGCCUCAUAGUUGAGGAAGAUGAUGUGCAACCAAUGAAGAAGAUAUAUUAGGAUGGAACUCGAGGCAUUUUGUGGAUUAGUAUCUAUAGUUUUUUGAUGCCUAUAAAGCAGAGCCAAGCCGCCGCCUCUCCGCCGAGAAAGAAGGAUCCCGAUCUCCGCCGUGGUCGACAAACAGCGCGAUGGGCGGAGCACCCAGCCGGUAGGCUCAUCCCCUUCUCUGAUCCACUCCGGCGGCGGCCAUCGUUGGCAUCGGUUCGUGUGGUUUCCUGCUGCUGGCAUAUGAAAGAGAUGCAGACGAGAGGAAGAAAGCCUCCCCCAAGCUCUGUCUAGGUGAUGCACGAGCGACGACCACCCUUCCUGUUAUUGCCUCCAUGGCUGGCUGCUCAUCCCCAGGAACCUCCUCCCCUCUCACGUGCGCCACACUCUGGGAUUAAGUUGGAACACAGGUAUCUAGGGCAGGGCGUGGUCACAUUGCAGGCAGCAAGGAGCAGCGCAAAGUUGUCUCGGCCGUGCCCUGCAUCGAGGAGGAACACAGGUAUGUACAAAUCGAGGAGGAAAACAUGUAUUUUUCUGUAUUUUUCUGUUUGUUAUUUUCUAACUUUAUGCUUCACCUGUCCUGAAUUAUACGUAUACUCAUGUUGUCAGAUACAUAGGUAUACAUAUACAUAGCUAUGGAAGACACGAUUUACUGAUACAUAUCUGAAUGUUAUAGCUAUAAAGAUACCUGAUUGUUAUAGCUGAAGGUAACAAAGAAAGUGGUAUGGAUGAAUGGUGUCGUUUGUUUACCCAUGCUGUGGUUGAAAUCGUUGUUUGGUUCCCAGGUUGAACAAAUCCGACAUCUGUAAAUCAUCGAUGUUUUUCUGGAAGUAGUACAGUAGGUUUAAGAUUGGGCGAUGAUUCAUUCAUUCGACUACUUAUAAUUUGGGUUUCUACAAUUUCAAGAGGCUAACAAUUCCACCUUGGGUGUCUUAUCUCUAUGAUUCUAACUAUCAAAUAACAUUGUUUUGAAGUGUAGAUGUUCCGGGAUUGCUAGCUCCUGCCAGGUGAUCAGAAUUACUGCUUUGUUUAUUACUCAACGAUGUCGGACACUGGUUUCUCUAAAUAUCUUUUACAAGUACAGUUUCUACUUUUUUCUGCAGAAAUACUACAUGGUAGUCUUGAAGUAAAUACCAAUCAUGUGAUCCGAUAUGUUGUUUCAGAACAAUAGACCAUCGAUAUUAUUUUCGCCUCGGGUUCUAGAGGAGGACAUCUAAUUAAGAGAAAACUUUGGUGGGAUAGAGACAGAAGUUUGCUAUAUUUCACAAUACCCAAACAGAAUUUCAUUGCUGAUUCUUCUGCCCUGAACUUUGCCCAUGCCAAUUACAUUUUGUAGACCCUUUUUAAGGAAACUGCUUCGUUUACACCAUCCCAUUAGCAUGUCUAUUAGCAGUAAUGAAACUUAAACAGACACUUCUAGAAUUAGCAAGAAAAUUGAUGGUGGGAUCUAGCAAUGCCGGUAGUGCCUCCUUUAGGAUUACAAAAUCGUUAAUCCUAUCUUCGCUUGCAUGUGACUGAUGGUGAUGCUACACAAGUUCUGAAGGCAGUGCCCUCCCCUUCAGCAGGAGAUCUUGCUGGUUCUGCAUGGCACAACUGGAUUAAAUAUGCUACAGCAAGCGAAGGAGUUCAACGAUGUUGUUGGAAUCAAAGGAUUCAUCCUAACGAAAUUAGACGGGACUGCUCGUGUUGGAUGUGUGGUGAGUGUUCAUACACGAACUUGGAGUUCCAGCCAAGUUUGUUGGCAUCGGCGAAGGGGUGGAAGAUCUCCAACCUUUUGAUGCAGAAGCAUUUGUUGAAGCCAUUUUCCCAUAAAUUUGACCCAGUUAUUAGUGUUUCUCAUGUAACAAGAUUUUGGCUAACAUGCUACUCCCUCCGUUUCUAAAUAUAUGUCUUUUUAGGAAUUCUAAUAUGAACUACAUAUGAAGAAAAAUGAGUGAAUCUACACUCUAGAAUAUGUCUACAUUCAUCCGUAUGCAGUCCAUAUUCAAAUCACUAAAAAGACCUAUAUUUAGGAAUGGAGGGAGUAGAACUUGGUAGAAGCAAUUUUUUCAACAAUUACAGAUUUUUUGGUUCAGUCGUCGACUCGUCUGCCUGACUUGUUUCUAUCGUUGAUCCUAACUAUUCACAGAAACAGAAGCAAGUAUUUGUGAUAUUAUAUGUUUCUUGUGAUUAAGCUCAGGGCACGUUGCAGAUA